AAGAUCGUCGCUAUAUAAAAGCCGACCCAGGAUGAAUUUAGAGCAACUCACAAUUUCGAUUCUUUUGUGCCCCAAACGUUAAAAUCUGUGAUCACAAUGAACGCCAAAAUGGCCAACAGUUUUGCAAUCGCUGUAUUUUUGUUUGUUCUAAUCGCCAGCUCACAAUCAAUGCCGAUGGAAGAAACAGCCAUCCAAGGUGGUGUUUCUCUUAGGAUUACUUGCACCGUGAGUUCGAGUAGUAACUAUUGUGAGAAGCAGUGCAAAGCGAACGGCAAAAAAGGAGGCUACUGCAACUUCUACGGCUAUUGUACGUGCAUAAUUUUUUAAUUCUCAAAUGGACUAGCACGUUAUUUUAUAACUGUAGUUUAUAAUUUUGUUUUUUUUUUAUUAGGACGCGCGCCUUUAUAUAGCUUGUGGUUAAGUUGUUUGCGCUGUGUAUACCCACUUUUUUUUUUAAUAAAUAACGGUUCACUAAAACGAAAAGACGAUGUUUGUUUUACGGUGUCGAAAUCCUAAAAAUUCUUCGGAAACGAAGAGAAACUCAUCUGCAAAGGGAGGGGCUCGGGUAGACAGGUACCGCACCAUUCGUAUUGCGUACGUUCAAAAUGAAGUUAUCGGGAUUUUUUUGGAUCUGCGUGUUCGCCAUGCCGUUAAUUUUUUCGCAAGUCUGCGUUGCUGGCUCGGCACCUACAGACGAUACACCAACGCAAGUGGAAACCGGAGAGC